UGAGAUAGUAUUUAUCACACCUUUAGUAGAAUUUAAAUCAUUGAAAUAUUUCUUACUUUUGAGUAUCGUGUGGGUAGUUCCACUGUCCGGGAUGCAAAUGUCUUUGACAUGUUCCAUGUCUGACCUUCUUAAAAUAAAAUCAAGAUUAAAGAUAGGAAAACAAUAAAUCAAUAUAAUACAUUCAACAUUAUUAUUCAAUAACCAAAUAUUACAUACUGCACACCACAUAAGUCAUACAUAUUAUUAAAUAAUUCAAGCACACCACACAAGUCAUACAUAUUAUUAAGUAAUACAAGCACACCACAAAUUAUUCAAAUACAUAUUUAAUUAGUUACUUAAUUCAUAUUCACUUCAUUUUCUUCUUCAACAAAAUCAGCAGCCUCAAGGUAGGUAGUAUCAUUAUCGGGUUCAACUUCAUUAAAAUUUCCUUUCCCUUUUCUUCAACAGAUGCCCUGUAUUUUUUACACAUGUGUUCUGGUGUCCUACACGUCUUAGACCAAUGUCCAUUCUUUCUGCAUCUAAAACAGAUAUCAUCACGGUUCCUUGAGGGACCUUCUUGGAUAUAUUUACCUUUACCUUGA
rnacentral:lncRNA from 1 species